rnacentral:rRNA from 1 species
AGUGAACGCUGGCGGUAGGCCUAACACAUGCAAGUCGAACGGCAGCACAGUAAGAGCUUGCUCUUACGGGUGGCGAGUGGCGGACGGGUGAGGAAUACAUCGGAAUCUACUUUUUCGUGGGGGAUAACGUAGGGAAACUUACGCUAAUACCGCAUACGACCUACGGGUGAAAGCAGGGGAUCUUCGGACCUUGCGCGAUUGAAUGAGCCGAUGUCGGAUUAGCUAGUUGGCGGGGUAAAGGCCCACCAAGGCGACGAUCCGUAGCUGGUCUGAGAGGAUGACCAGCCACACGGGAAUUAGGACAGGGCCCAGACCCCUAGGGGGGGCAGCAGGGGGAAUUAUGGGAAAAUGGGCGAAAGCCUGACCCAGCCAUCCCGGGGGGGUGAAGAAGGCCUUCGGGUGGUAAAGCCUUUUUGUUGGGAAAAAAAAGCAGCAGGUUAAAACCCCGCUUUUCUGACGGUACCCAAAAAAAAAGCACCGGCUAACUUCGU